AGUUUGAUCCUGGCUCAGGAUGAACGCUAGCUACAGGCUUAACACAUGCAAGUCGAGGGGCAGCAUUGGAGUAGCAAUACUUCAGAUGGCGACCGGCGCACGGGUGAGUAACGCGUAUCCAACCUGCCGCUUACUCGGGGAUAGCCUUUCGAAAGAAAGAUUAAUACCCGAUGGUAUAAAGAGUUCGCAUGUUCUCUUUAUUAAAGAAUUUCGGUAAGCGAUGGGGAUGCGUUCCAUUAGAUAGUUGGCGGGGUAACGGCCCACCAAGUCUACGAUGGAUAGGGGUCCUGAGAGGAAGGUCCCCCACAUUGGAACUGAGACACGGUCCAAACUCCUACGGGAGGCAGCAGUGAGGAAUAUUGGUCAAUGGACGAGAGUCUGAACCAGCCAAGUAGCGUGAAGGAUGACUGCCCUAUGGGUUGUAAACUUCUUUUAUAAGGGAAUAAAGUGAGGGACGUGUCCCUUUUUGUAUGUACCUUAUGAAUAAGGAUCGGCUAACUCCGUGCCAGCAGCCGCGGUAAUACGGAGGAUCCGAGCGUUAUCCGGAUUUAUUGGGUUUAAAGGGAGCGUAGGUUGACGUAUAAGUCAGCUGUGAAAGUUUACGGCUCAACCGUGAAAUUGCAGUUGAUACUGUAUGUCUUGAGUGUACAAGAGGUGGGCGGAAUUCGUGGUGUAGCGGUGAAAUGCUUAGAUAUCACGAAGAACUCCAAUUGCGAAGGCAGCUCACUGGGGUACAACUGACACUGAGGCUCGAAAGUGUGGGUAUCAAACAGGAUUAGAUACCCUGGUAGUCCACACAGUAAACGAUGAAUACUCGCUGUUUGCGAUAUACAGUAAGCGGCCAAGCGAAAGCAUUAAGUAUUCCACCUGGGGAGUACGCCGGCAACGGUGAAACUCAAAGGAAUUGACGGGGGCCCGCACAAGCGGAGGAACAUGUGGUUUAAUUCGAUGAUACGCGAGGAACCUUACCCGGGCUUGAAUUGCAGAGGAACAUAGUUGAAAGAUUAUGGCCGCAAGGUCUCUGUGAAGGUGCUGCAUGGUUGUCGUCAGGUCGUGCCGUGAGGUGUCGGCUUAAGUGCCAUAACGAGCGCAACCCUUAUCAUUAGUUACUAACAGGUCAUGCUGAGGACUCUAGUGAGACUGCCGUCGUAAGAUGUGAGGAAGGUGG
rnacentral:rRNA from 1 species